rnacentral:rRNA from 1 species
UUUAUACAACGGAGAGUUUGAUCCUGGCUCAGGAUGAACGCUAGCGGCAGGCUUAACACAUGCAAGUCGAGGGGUAACAGGGAGCUUGCUCCGCUGACGACCGGCGCACGGGUGCGUAACGCGUAURCAAUCUACCUUUUACUGARGGAUAGCCCGGAGAAAUCCGGAUUAAUACUUCAUAGUAUUUCGAGACCGCAUGGUCUUGCAAUUAAAGAUUACGGUAAAAGAUGAGCAUGCGUCCUAUUAGCUAGAUGGUAAGGUAACGGCUUACCAUGGCUACGAUAGGUAGGGGGCCUGAGAGGGUGAUCCCCCACACUGGUACUGAGACACGGACCAGACUCCUACGGGA